AAGGGGAAAAUCGAUGGAAUAGCUUCACUUUUCAACGUUCGACGACCUGGCAACCCCAUCAGUUGAGAUUUAAGGUCCGUUUCGAAAUGCUCUGGCUGAAAGUGCUGGCUACAAACCCGGACAUUUGGAUAUUUAUCCAGUGAAGUAUUCACAUCAUAGGCUGCGUUCUUUAUUGCCGCCAGCCACUGUCGACUACGAGUAAUAUCUCUGGCAGGUAACCGAUGAAACGUUACCCCAGCGGCCUGUGCUUGCUUGUAGUUGGCACAUCCAGAAUGCCUGAGCCCAACUCUGUCACCAGUCCCCCCCCAGUUGUACUGCUGAUCCUCUCUCAUUCUCUGUCUCUCUUUUUCUUUCUCUCUCAAUCUCUCUAAGGACUUUAUUGGCAUGGGAAAUAUAUGUUUACAUUGCCAAAGCAAGUGGAAUAGACAAUAAACUGAAGGGAAAUAAGCAAUUAGAAAUUAGCAGUAAACAUUACUCAAAGUUUUUAAAUUAAUAUAGACAUUUCAAAUGUUAUAUUGUCUAUGUACAGUGUUGUAACAUAGUUGAAGUAUAACAAAUAGUUGAAGUAUGAAAGGGAAAAUAAACAGAUAUAUAUAGGUCGUAUUUACAAUGGUUUUUGUGCUCCACUGGUCGCCCUUUUUAGUGGCAACAGGUCAACAAAUAUUGCUGCUGUGGUGGCACAGUCCUCUCUGAAAAGCCAACUGACAUUGACUCCCGAGGUGUUGAACUGUUCCACCCUCUAUAUCCACUGUGGUUAUUGCUUGACAUGGCUGGUAAUCUAUGAACAUCUUGAAUAACCAUCUUGACUUAUUGGCCACGUGUACUCAAAGUUUCCCCAAGGCACAGCCAGAAGAGGACUGACCACCCCUCCGAGCCUGGUUCCUCUCUAGGUUUCUUCUUAGGUUCCCGUCUUCUGGGGAGUUUUUCUUAGCCACUGUACUUCUGCAUCUCAAUUGCUUGCUCUUUCAUUUUUUUGGGCUGAGUAUCUGUAGAGCACUGUAACAAGCUUUAUAAAAUACAUUUGGUUGAUCUACUUGUUUGCUUCUGUACCAUUUAAACUGAAGUUAUAUCACUAUACAGCUAUUUGCUACUGUACUGUUCAUUCUAUAGAAGUUGUCUCCAAUAAAGGAGUGUGAUUUGGAAUCCUCAGA